AUUGAACGCUGGCGGCAGGCCCAACACAUGCAAGUCGAACGGUAACAGGAAGCAGCUUGCUGCUUUGCUGACGAGUGGCGGACGGGUGAGUAAUGUCUGGGAAACUGCCUGAUGGAGGGGGAUAACUACUGGAAACGGUAGCUAAUACCGCAUAACGUCGCAAGACCAAAGAGGGGGACCUUCGGGCCUCUUGCCAUCGGAUGUGCCCAGAUGGGAUUAGCUAGUAGGUGGGGUAACGGCUCACCUAGGCGACGAUCCCUAGCUGGUCUGAGAGGAUGACCAGCCACACUGGAACUGAGACACGGUCCAGACUCCUACGGGAGGCAGCAGUGGUGAAUAUUGCACAAUGGGCGCAAGCCUGAUGCAGCCAUGCCGCGUGUAUGAAGAAGGCCUGCGGGUUGUAAAGUACUUUCAGCGGGGAGGAAGGGAGUAAAGUUAAUACCUUUGCUCAUUGACGUUACCCGCAGAAGAAGCACCGGCUAACUCCGU
rnacentral:rRNA from 1 species